AUUUAAUUAAAUAUUGGUUAGAUUUUUUUAAAUAUUAGCUAGUUUAAAUUAAUUAUUAGUUAGUUUUUAUUUAUUAUUUAAAUGAAUAACAAUUAAAAUAUAUUUGUAUAUUUGCAUUGGAUUCCCUCCUUACAUUAAAAAAAACAAAAAAAGAAUAAAUAGAAAAAUUCUCCCAACUGUCUGCUACGUUUCUCCCCACUCACUCUCCACUACUAAUCACCUCACUCCACUCACUCUCUGAUAUCCCUCACACACUCACAUAAAAACAAAAAAAGCCGUUCAAAACAAAGACCCCCUCACCUUCUUAUCUCCCUCACCGAAAAUCCCCUAAAGAAAAAAACCCUUCUCUCUUUCCCUCACAAUUCAGACUAUCUCUCUCACUCUCAUCAUCACUCAUUCACUCUCAGCUCACACAAACACCAAGCCCUACCGCCGCCGCUCUCACUCACUAUUCACUCACUCUGAAUCUCUCAAAAACCCUAAAACCCUCACUCACUUUCCGCCUCCACCCUCUCUCUUUCUCUCGUUACUCUUCCCAUCACUCAGAA
rnacentral:lncRNA from 1 species